UACACUCCUGCGGGAGGCAGCAGUGGGGAAUAUUGCACAAUGGGCGCAAGCCUGAUGCAGCCAUGCCGCGUGUAUGAAGAAGGCCUUCGGGUUGUAAAGUACUUUCAGCGGGGAGGAAGGCGAUAAGGUUAAUAACCUUGUCGAUUGACGUUACCCGCAGAAGAAGCACCGGCUAACUCCGUGCCAGCAGCCGCGGUAAUACGGAGGGUGCAAGCGUUAAUCGGAAUUACUGGGCGUAAAGCGCACGCAGGCGGUCUGUCAAGUCGGAUGUGAAAUCCCCGGGCUCAACCUGGGAACUGCAUUCGAAACUGGCAGGCUAGAGUCUUGUAGAGGGGGGUAGAAUUCCAGGUGUAGCGGUGAAAUGCGUAGAGAUCUGGAGGAAUACCGGUGGCGAAGGCGGCCCCCUGGACAAAGACUGACGCUCAGGUGCGAAAGCGUGGGGAGCAAACAGGAUUAGAAACCCGUGUAGUCCCA
rnacentral:rRNA from 1 species